CCGAAUUAGUCGACAACAGAGUUUGAUCCUGGCUCAGAGUGAACGCUGGCGGUAGGCCUAACACAUGCAAGUCGAACGGCAGCACAGUAAGAGCUUGCUCUUAUGGGUGGCGAGUGGCGGACGGGUGAGGAAUACAUCGGAAUCUACUUUUUCGUGGGGGAUAACGUAGGGAAACUUACGCUAAUACCGCAUACGACCUACGGGUGAAAGCAGGGGAUCUUCGGACCUUGCGCGAUUGAAUGAGCCGAUGUCGGAUUAGCUAGUUGGCGGGGUAAAGGCCCACCAAGGCGACGAUCCGUAGCUGGUCUGAGAGGAUGAUCAGCCACACUGGAACUGAGACACGGUCCAGACUCCUACGGGAGGCAGCAGUGGGGAAUAUUGGACAAUGGGCGCAAGCCUGAUCCAGCCAUACCGCGUGGGUGAAGAAGGCCUUCGGGUUGUAAAGCCCUUUUGUUGGGAAAGAAAUCCAGCCGGCUAAUACCUGGUUGGGAUGACGGUACCCAAAGAAUAAGCACCGGCUAACUUCGUGCCAGCAGCCGCGGUAAUACGAAGGGUGCAAGCGUUACUCGGAAUUACUGGGCGUAAAGCGUGCGUAGGUGGUUGUUUAAGUCUGUUGUGAAAGCCCUGGGCUCAACCUGGGAACUGCAGUGGAAACUGGACAACUAGAGUGUGGUAGAGGGUAGCGGAAUUCCCGGUGUAGCAGUGAAAUGCGUAGAGAUCGGGAGGAACAUCCAUGGCGAA
rnacentral:rRNA from 1 species